UGCCCGAUGGUGCAAUGGUAGCACACCAGAUUCUGGAUCUGGGUGUUCUAGGUUCGAGUCCUAGUCGGGCAGCCA
rnacentral:tRNA from 3 species